rnacentral:piRNA from 1 species
UGCCCUGGUAAACAGAUCACCCUCC